UCUCAUUUAAAUGCAAGUUUGACCAAGGGUUGACUUUUUGAUAUAAUCAUUUUUCUACCAUUUGGCCAAUUGAAAUAGCUCAGAAAUGUCAUUUAAAAUGUGUUUGCAAGCUCAAUUAUGCAGUACAUAUGGCCAUUCUUUAACUUGCUUGAAACUUGGCAAAGGUACAUUUUCACCCAUACUUCCAUAAACCAUACUUUGUACCACAACCUAGCAGCAUUCUUCAUCAUUUUUUCUGUCAUUUUGAGUACCCUAGAAGCAGCCCUAACACAGAACUUCAUGCUCCAAAGGCUUUACUUUGGCACUUUUACAAAGAUUGGUAAAAAGAAUUUCCAAAAGGACAAAAACCUUGCCAUGCUUGGUACUUCU
rnacentral:lncRNA from 1 species